AUAGGUUGUAGGGAACUGAAAGAACGACCUUCGGGAGCCUAUACAGGUGUUGCAUGGCUGUCGUCAGCUCGUGUCGUGAGAUGCUCGGGUUUAAGUCCGCUAACGAGCGCAACCCUCGUCGUAUGUUAUAUGUGUCAUACGAGACUGCCGGUAAAAGCCGGAGGAAGGUGAGGAUGAUGUCAAGUCAGCAUGACCUUUAUAUCCAGGGCUACACACACGCUACAAUGGUCUGUACAAUGGGUAGCCAAGCCGCGAGGCGGAGCCAAUCCUGAAAGCAAGGCCUCAGUUCAGAUUGCAGUCUGCAACUCGACUGCAUGAAGCCGGAGUUGCUAGUAACCGCAGGUCAGCAAUACUGCGGUGAAUACGUUCCCGGGUCUU
rnacentral:rRNA from 1 species